AUCUGUCACCCCACUGACUGUCAGGUUGGAUUCAGCUGAUCUGGCUGGCUAGGUGGAU
rnacentral:sRNA from 1 species